AAAGAACCCCGAUGAGGGGAGUGAAAUAGAACCUGAAAUCAUAUACCUACAACCAGUGGAAGGGCUAUGUCAGUUGCGAGACUGGUAUGCCUAACCGCGUUCCUUUUGCAGAAUGCGCCCGCGAGUUGUCGUAUGCAGCAAGGUUAAUCCGUUCAGCGGAGAAGCCGUAGGGAAACCGAGUCUGAAUAGGGCGUCAGUUGCAUGCGGCAGACCCGAAACCAGCGUGAUCUAUCCAUGGACAGGGUGAAGUCUCGGUAAUACGAGACGGAGGCCCGAACCGAUGUUGGUUGAAAACAGCUCGGAUGAGCUGUGGAUAGGAGUGAAAGGCUAAUCAAACCUGGUGAUAGCUGGUUCUCCCCGAAAUAUAUUUAGGUAUAGCCUCGUGUGGUCUGCGCCGGAGGUAGAGCACUGAAUGAGCUAGGGGGCUCACCCGCCUACCAAACUCAAUCAAACUCCGAAUGCCGGUGACAGUAGCACGGGAGUCAGAGUCAGGGCGAUAAGGUCCUGGCUCAAAAGGGAAACAGCCCAGAUCGCCAGCUAAGGUCCCUAAGUAUGUGCUAAGUGGUAAAGGAUGUUGAGUCGCUAAGACAGCCAGGAUGUUGGCUUAGAAGCAGCCACCAUUUAAAGAAAGCGUAAUAGCUCACUGGUCAAGCGCCUCAGCGCCGAAAAUGUAACGGGGCUCAAGCACAUCACCGAAGCUGCGGGUUUGUCGAAAGACAAGCGGUAGGGGAGCACUCUGUAAGCCUGUGAAGGUAGACCGUCAGGACUACUGGAGGUAUCAGAGGAGAUUAUGUGGGCAUAAGUAGCGAAAAUGCGAGCGAGAAACUCGCACGCCGUAAACCUAAGGGUUCCUGAGCAAGGUUAAUCCUCUCAGGGUUAGUCGGUUCCUAAGGCGAGGCCGAAAGGCGUAGUCGAUGGAAAACAGGUUAAUAUUCCUGUACCACCUAUAAAUGCGAUGGGGGGACGCAGGAAGGUAGGCUAUCCGGAGAUCGGUUGUUCCGGUUUAAGCCUUUAGGUGGAGAGCUUAGGUAAAUCCGGGCUCUCGUAAACACCGAAAGGCGAAUACGACCUGCGUAUGCGGGGAAGUAGCUGACCCUACACUGCCAAGAAAAGCCUCUAAGCUUCAGUUUAUAGGUGACCGUACCGCAAACCGACACAGGUAGGUGGGGAGAAAAUCCUAAGGCGCUUGGGAAAACUCUGGUCAAGGAACUCGGCCAAUUAACCCCGUAACUUCGGGAAAAGGGGUGCCUCAUUAGGGUUAGGAUUAUUCCAAAGCCUGAAGAGGUCGCAGAGAAAUGGCAGGGGCGACUGUUUAACAAAAACACAGGGCUCUGCAAACUCGUAAGAGGAUGUAUAGGGUCUGACGCCUGCCCGGUGCCGGAAGGUUAAGGGAAGGGGUUAGUCGCAAGGCGAAGCUCCGAGCCGAAGCCCCGGUAAACGGCGGCCGUAACUAUAAAAUAGGACGUUGUAGUUACGUAAAAAAAUUCAGCUAUAUGCUGGGAAGUCCGGUUUGAGCUUUCGGUACUCGCUACUAGCAGAUUGCGAAUAAGGUAGCAGUAAAAAUCCUGAAAGUACGGAUAAUCAGCAGGAAAGGAUCAGCGAUGCUAAACGUGAAACAAAUUCCACCAUCUGUUGGAUAUUAUUUGGCUGGCUUUGCUGAUGGAGAAGGAAGCUUUAAUAUUAACUUCAGCAAGAGGGAUGAUUACAAAACAUCAUGGAAGGUUACUCUUUGUUUUAAUAUAUCUCAGAAAGAUCCUGUAAUUCUCUCGCUAUUCAAAAAAUACUUGAAAUGCGGGACAAUGAGGAAAAGAAAGGAUGGGAUAUGGUAUUAUGAAGUAAACAACCUGAGCUCUAUAGUUAAUAAUGUAAUCCCCUUUUUUGAAAAGUUUGGAUUCCUGUCCUCAGAGAAAAAGAAAGAUUUUUCUAAGUUUAAGCAAAUAGCCAGAAUUAUAAUGAAUGAUGAGCACCUUUCAUCAGAAGGCAUAAAAAAAAUACUAAUGAUUUGGAAGGAUAUGAGUGGUGGUGGGAAAAUGAAGAAUAAUGAGGAGGAAAUACAAAUAUUACUUU
rnacentral:rRNA from 1 species